UGAGUGCCAAUGAGACAACUCUCCAUACAAAUAACAAUUUAAAAAGUAAACCAUUAUAGGUUAAAGUACGGCCUUCAACACGGAGCCUUAGCUCACACCGAACAACAAGCUAUAAAGGGCCCCAAAAUUAUUAGUGUAAAACCAUUCAAACGGGAAAACCAACGGUCUAAUCUAUAUAAACAAAACAAGAAACGAGAAACACGUAUAUAUUACAUAAACAAACGACAACUACUAUACAUCAGAUUCCUGACUUAGGACAGGUGCAAACAUUUGCAGCGGGAUUAAACGUUUUAAUGGAUCAAACCUUCUCCCUUAUUCUGAAACAAUAGCAUAACAUCACAACAAAGAAAAACAUACGAUAAAAUAUCA
rnacentral:lncRNA from 1 species